rnacentral:rRNA from 1 species
AUUGACCUCGAAUCAGGUAGGGAUACCCGCUGAACUUAAGCAUAUCAAUAAGCGGAGGAAAAGAAACCAACAGGGAUUGCCCUAGUAACGGCGAGUGAAGCGGCAACAGCUCAAAUUUGAAAUCUGGCCCCCUCGGGGUCCGAGUUGUAAUUUGCAGAGGGUGCUUUGGUGUUGGCUGUGGUCCAAGUUCCCUGGAACAGGACGUCGCAGAGGGUGAGAACCCCGUACGUGGCCGCCAGCCUUCGCCGUGUAAAGCCCCUUCGAAGAGUCGAGUUGUUUGGGAAUGCAGCUCUAAAUGGGAGGUAAAUUCCUUCUAAAGCUAAAUAUUGGCCAGAGACCGAUAGCGCACAAGUAGAGUGAUCGAAAGAUGAAAAGCACUUUGGAAAGAGAGUGAAACAGCACGUGAAAUUGUUGAAAGGGAAGCGCUUGGAGCCAGACGUGCCCGUAGUUGCUCAGCCGGGGUCUUCCCCGGUGCACUCUUCUGCGGGCAGGCCAGCAUCAGUUUGGGCGGUCGGACAAAAGCCUGCUAAACGUACCUCCCCCCGGGGAGGACUUAUAGGGUAGGUGGCAUACGACCAGCCCGGACUGAGGACCGCGCAUCUGCUAGGAUGCUGGCGUAAUGGCUGUAAGCGGCCCGUCUUGAAACACGGACCAAGGAGUCUAAAAUCUAUGCGAGUGUUUGGGUGUCAAGCCCGAGCGCGCAAUGAAAGUGAACGCAGGUGGGAACCCCUCGGGGUGCACCAUCGACCGAUCCUGAUGUUUUCGGAAGGAUUUGAGUAUGAGCAUAGCUUUUGGGACCCGAAAGAUGGUGAACUAUGCCUGAAUAGGGUGAAGCCAGAGGAAACUCUGGUGGAGGCUCGCAGCGGUUCUGACGUGCAAAUCGAUCGUCAAAUUUGGGCAUAGGGGCGAAAGACUAAUCGAACUAUCUAGUAGCUGG